CGCUUAUCCCUGGUCUUGGGGGAUCAGAGGCAGCAGGCCCUGGGGGUCCCGCUCUCAGAAAGGACGCUGCAAAGGUGGUGGGAUGCCUCGGGCAGAGAAGGGAGCGGCCCCAGGGGGCUGGCUGGGCAGGGUCUCCGCCCACUGCAGCGUCUACAGGGGUGGGGCGGUGCCGUGCCUGCAGAAGCCCGUCGCAGGGGGCCGAGCGGGGCAGCUCAUCCAGAGCCCUGCCUGAGCCCUGUUAGCACAAGACCUGGCUAGGGCCUGCUCACUGCUUACCACUGGGGGCGGGGGGGGGGGAGGGCGGCACAGGCUGGGUCUAGGCCCUAGCCUCCGUGGAGCCCUCUUGCCGUUCGCAAAUGCUCUCCUAGCCUCUGAAGGGAUGGUCUGCUGCCUGGCCUGGGGAAAGGCGGAAGGGGGACCUAGAAUGAAAUGGGGUUGGCAGGGGGACCGAGCACGUUGGCAGUGGGGACUAGAGGGCUGGCAGUGGGGUGUCCAGGGACUGAUUAUGCUGGGACACUGUCAGAAGGCAGGAGCGGCGCCUGGAGGGAGGGGACCCCUUCAGAAACCGCAGAGACCUUGGACUUCCGUCCUCCAGCCGAGCCCCCGCACCCUGGUGCCCCCAUCUCCCUCAGGCCGCACCCAGUGGGGCCCCUCCACUCCUCCCUGAGCUGCCGGGGGUGGGGGGUGUGGGAACAGGGCUGUGCCGGGGGGGGGCGCUACAGACAUGAAAUUAAGGCUUGCAAGAACUCCUCUCCCGACUUCACUGUAUGAGAAAAUGGGAAAAGGGGAAAAAGGUUUGUUUUAGAAUGAAAAGCAGCCAUGGCCCUUGGCCUCUCCUGUGGCUGGGGAGUUAGGCAUCCCCCUUCGGGGAGGCCGCGGAGACCCCGUGUGUCUUCUCCACCCCUGAUGCGGCUCGUGUCCAGUUCUUUCAACCCACACUUCCCCGAAGGGGCCAGUCGCGCCUUUUCAUGUCCGCUGAGCAGCCGGCACCAGGCCUGUCUCGGCCGCCCUGUGACCGCUGCUCAGUCUCGUCCUCCUGCCCUUGGCUUUUGUCACAGCAGUCGAGGCCUUUUGAAGACACAGCCAUCGGGAGCAGGACCCCUCCUCAGCCUCCUUGCCCUCGGGCCCGCAUCCCUCCUACGACAGGGCUCCUCCCUGGUGCAGGGUGAGUGGCGGGUGGACGGCCGGUGCCCCAGGUGCCCGAGUGCGGGGACGCAGGAGACAGCAGAAGCUCGGGCGCCGGUCCCCUCUUCUCUCCAGACUUGCUGUCAUUAUUCCAUCAUCGUUUUAAUCUCUUGGUUCGCCCCACGGUGCUGCCAGCUGAUAAAUGAAGGCGAUGUCGAUUCCAGAGGGAGGAAAGAAAGCCUUCACUGUGGGAGUGCCCUGGUCAGUGCCCUUCAGUUUGGGGGGCUGGCUGGUUCAGAGGGCGAGCUGAGCCUCUGUCUCCAGAACGGUCCCUGGGGGGGAUGGGCUCGGCUGAGUGAUUUGCAUUCGGGAGUGCUGUCUCCCAGGGCUUUUCCGAGAAUUUUCGUGUCUUUUUCUGGGUGUUGUUUCAGCAGCUAUGGAAACCAUUAGGUCUAAUCAGCUGA